GAUGAACGCUGGCGGCGUGCCUAAUACAUGCAAGUCGAGCGAACGGACGAGAAGCCUGCUUCUCUGAUGUUAGCGGCGGACGGGUGAGUAACACGUGGAUAACCUACCUAUAAGACUGGGAUAACUUCGGGAAACCGGAGCUAAUACCGGAUGAUAUUUUGAACCGCAUGGUUCAAAAGUGAAAGACGGUCUUGCUGUCACUUAUAGAUGGAUCCGCGCUGCAUUAGCUAGUUGGUAAGGUAACGGCUUACCAAGGCAACGAUGCAUAGCCGACCUGAGAGGGUGAUCGGCCACACUGGAACUGAGACACGGUCCAGACUCCUACGGGAGGCAGCAGUAGGGAAUCUUCCGCAAUGGGCGAAAGCCUGACGGAGCAACGCCGCGUGAGUGGUGAAGGUCUUCGGAUCGUAAAACUCUGUUAUUAGGGAAGAACAUAUGUGUAAGUAACUGUGCACAUCUUGACGGUACCUAAUCAGAAAGCCACGGCUAACUACGUG
rnacentral:rRNA from 1 species